rnacentral:rRNA from 1 species
GGGUCAGUAGGUUGGUCGUGCCACCGGUACGUACUGGUCUCACUGAUUCCUCCUUCCUGAAGAACCGUAAUGCCAUUAAUUUGGUGUUGCGGGGAAACAGGACUGUUACUUUGAAAAAAUUAGAGUGUUUAAAGCAAGCUAACGCUUGAAUACAUUAUCAUGGAAUAAUGAAAUAGGACGAUCGAUCCUAUUUUGUUGGUUUCUAGGAUUGACGUA